rnacentral:rRNA from 1 species
CCUACGGGCGGCAGCAGUGAGGAAUAUUGGUCAAUGGACGAGAGUCUGAACCAGCCAAGUAGCGUGAAGGAUGACUGCCCUCUGGUUUGUAAGCUUCUUUUAUAUGGGAAUAAAAUGUUACACGUGUGGGAUUUUGUAUGUACCAUAUGAAUAAGGAUAGGCUAACUCCGUGCCAGCAGCCGCGGUAAGACGGAGGGUGCGUGCGUUGAUCGGAAUUACUGUGCGUAAAGCGCUCGUAGGCGGAAUGUCAGGUCAAGGGUGAAAUCCCCGCGCUUAACGUGGGAAUUGCCUUUGAUACUGGUAAACUGGAGUGUGGUAGAGGAUAGUAGAAUUCCAGGUGUAGGAGUGAAAUCCGUAGAGAUCUGGAGGAACAUCAGUGGCGAAGGCGACUACCUGGCACAUGACUGACGCUGAGGAGCGAAAGCGUGGGUAGCAAACAGGAUUAGAUACCCGGGUAGUC